GGGUAUUAUGUCUUUGUGCAUUUGUUUGUAACAGGCAAAAGGAAACGNCGUUUCCUUUUGCCUGUUACAAACAAAUGCACAAAGACAUAAUACCCU
rnacentral:pre_miRNA from 1 species